UGAGAGUAGAUCAGUCAGUAGAGCAUGAGCCUCUUAAGCUCAGAAUAGUGGGUUCGAGCCCCACAUUGGGCAAAA